GGAACAAACCAGCGGCGUCUCUGGUCGAUCGGUUGUCCGGCAGGGCAUUGCCGAGCAGCUACACGCUAACGGAUAAGGGCUGAAAGCAUCUAAGCCCGAAGCCUCUCCCGAAAAUAGGCAGCCAAUCCCCUUUUUGGGGACGAGGGCUCCCAUAGAAGAUGGGUUUGAUGGAGCCGGGGUGUACGCCGGAAGACUUCGGUCGACCGGUUUAGCCUGCGGCUUCCAACCGCCUGAGGUGUUGGGCCG
rnacentral:rRNA from 1 species